rnacentral:rRNA from 1 species
UGGGGAAUAUUGCACAAUGGGCGCAAGCCUGAUGCAGCCAUGCCGCGUGUAUGAAGAAGGCCUUCGGGUUGUAAAGCACUUUCAGCGGGGAGGAAGGCGGUGAGGUUAAUAACCUCAUCGAUUGACGUUACCCACAGAAGAAGCACCGGCUAACUCCGUUCCAGCAGCCGCGGUAAUACGGAGGGUGCAAGCGUUAAUCGGAAUUACUGGGCGUAAAGCGCACGCAGGCGGUCUGUCAAGUCGGAUGUGAAAUCCCCGGGCUCAACCUGGGAACUGCAUUCGAAACUGGCAGGCUAGAGUCUUGUAGAGGGGGGUAGAAUUACAGGUGUAGCGGUGAAAUGCGUAGAGAUCUGGAGGAAUACCGGUGGCGAAGGCGGCCCCCUGGACAAAGACUGACGCUGAGGUGCGAAAGCGUGGGGAGCAAACAGG